rnacentral:rRNA from 1 species
CAGCCGCCACGGUAAUACGUAGGGUGCGAGCGUUAAUCGGAAUUACUGGGCGUAAAGCGUGCGCAGGCGGUUCGUUAAGACAGAUGUGAAAUCCCCGGGCUUAACCUGGGAACUGCAUUUGUGACUGGCGAGCUAGAGUAUGGCAGAGGGGGGUAGAAUUCCACGUGUAGCAGUGAAAUGCGUAGAGAUGUGGAGGAAUACCGAUGGCGAAGGCAGCCCCCUGGGCCAAUACUGACGCUCAUGCACGAAAGCGUGGGGAGCAAACAGGAUUAGAUACCCCUGUAGUCCCUGUCUCUUAUAC